AACAGUGGUGCAGUGGUCUGAGUGUUGGACUGAGACUCCAGGAGACCAGGGUUCGAAUCCCUGCUCAGCUG